UUGAAAGGGAAACGAUUGAAGUCAGUCGUACCGACGAGAAAUCAGCUUUUCGAAUGUGCAUUUGUGGGCGUAUGAGAUCUUCAUUGUUUGCAAUAUGUAUGUUUCUUUGGUGUACUUUUUCGUAUGGUAGGUCAACGUCGGUUUUGAUCGCCAUAAAAUGAUCGGAGGAAUGUAGCUUCGGCCUCGGUUGAAGUGUUAUAGCCUUUGGUAAAUGUGGUGAUUAAGACCGAGGAUUGCAACGAAUACCUUUUAGGCUAUCCGUCUGACCUCUGAAAGUUACUUAGGUGCCGAAAGCUUGCUUACGGUCAUUUAAGUUGACGGUCAAUAGGUUAGAACGUGAUUACAUUCGUUAAGGAUGUUGACGUA
rnacentral:rRNA from 1 species